rnacentral:rRNA from 1 species
UACGUAGGGUGCGAGCGUUAAUCGGAAUUACUGGGCGUAAAGUGUGCGCAGGCGGCCGCGCAAGUCGAGUGUGAAAGCCCCGAGCUUAACUUGGGAAUUGCGCUCGAAACUACGUGGCUGGAGUGUGGCAGAGGAAGGUGGAAUUCCAGGUGUAGCGGUGAAAUGCGUAGAGAUCUGGAGGAACACCGAUGGCGAAGGCAGCCUUCUGGGCCAACACUGACGCUCAUGCACGAAAGCGUGGGGAG